rnacentral:rRNA from 1 species
AGUGAACGCUGGCGGUAGGCCUAACACAUGCAAGUCGAACGGCAGCACAGUAAGAGCUUGCUCUUACGGGUGGCGAGUGGCGGACGGGUGAGGAAUACAUCGGAAUCUACUUUUUCGUGGGGGAUAACGUAGGGAAACUUACGCUAAUACCGCAUACGACCUACGGGUGAAAGCAGGGGAUCUUCGGACCUUGCGCGAUUGAAUGAGCCGAUGUCGGAUUAGCUAGUUGGCGGGGUAAAGGCCCACCAAGGCGACGAUCCGUAGCUGGUCUGAGAGGAUGAUCGGCAACACUGGAACUGAGACACGGUCCAGACUCCUAGGGGAGGCAGCAGUGGGGAAUAUUGGACAAGGGGCGCAAGCCUGAUGCGGCCAUACCGCGUGGGUGAAGAAGGCCUUCGGGUUGUAAAGCCCUUUUGUUGGGAAAGAAAAGCAGCAGGUUAAUACCCCGCUGUUCUGACGGUACCCAAAGAAGAAGCACCGGCUAACUUCGU